AUUGAACGCUGGCGGCAGGCCUAACACAUGCAAGUCGAGCGGAGCGGCGGACGGGUGAGUAAUGCCUAGGAAUCUGCCUGGUAGUAGGGGCUAACGUCCGGAAACGGGCGCUAAUACCGCAUACUAUCAGAAGAGCCUAGGUAGGAUUAGCUAGUUGGUGGGGUAAAGGCCUAACAAGGCGAAGAUCCGUAACUGGUCUGAGAGGAUGAUCAGUAACACUGGAACUGAGACACGGGCCAGACUCCUACGGGAGGCAGCAGUGGGGAAUAUUGCACAAUGGGCGCAAGCCUGAUGCAGCCAUGCCGCGUGUGUGAAGAAGGCCUUCGGGUUGUAAAGCACUUUCAUCGGGGAGGCGUUACCCGCAGAAGAAGCACCGGCUAACUCCGUGCCAGCAGCCGCGGUAAUAC
rnacentral:rRNA from 1 species